rnacentral:lncRNA from 1 species
CAGCUAACAUGGAGCAUUGUUGAGUUUGUGUAUAUGUGUCUUUGUGUGCGUGCUGCUGCAUUGGUGAAAUGCUCCACAAAAAGGUCUCUGGUCGAGCUUUUCAAUAGUUUGGCCAAUAAUGAAGAGCGGAAAAAUAACAAAGUGAACAGUUUACCCCAGCGACCGCGAAUUUCAGUUCAAUUUCGACAUCGGGCGCGCAUUGAAGCGGGCGACAAAAGAAAUUCUUAUUCGAUGGGAACAAAUUGCCCGCUCGAUAUAUUUUGUACGUUUUUAGAUGCGGCUGAUUUCGCGAAAUUAUAUAGAUAUUCUUUGGGCCAUGAAAUGGUGUGACUGGUCCGGGAUUGUUUUACUGUGUUGUUGAUAAAAGAAGCAGGAACCGUUUUUUGCCGCUGUCAAAUUGUGCAAAAU